AGGGAGGAUGAUGCCUUCUCCAAGGCUGGAACCCAACCUCUGCUAGGGUGGGAGAACCAGCAGCUCAGUCCCAGCAUUCUCACAGUGGAAGCUGGCUUGGAAAAAGGCUGAUGGAAAGGAAAAGCCUCGUGCAAAAGGAGCAUGAAGGACUUGCUGCUGGGCCCUUGGGAUGGAGGAAGAGCCUCACACUUCACUGGCUUAUUGGCUCCAUUUCUAAUUGUUCUGUGGUGGAGUUACAUGACCGAACAAGGCUGUGGAUGUUGUCUGCUGUGCUUGUAAUGCACUGAGUGACUUCUAGCUCAUCCUUUGCCUCCAUCUGUUUCUCUGCUGCUCCCAUUGAGCCCACACAACUAUCUCCAGAAAUCACCCAAGGCCAAGAAUCAAAUGCAAAGGCAGCUCUAAGAUGGAGUCUAGCAUGGAGUCAAGAGGAGGAUGCUGUGCUCCUUGCUUCAGCAGAGGAGUCUCUGCAGCCACACUUUGCCUGGGGCAGGCUUCCAUCCCAACACCAAGGGAACAGAAGACAAACAGGCAUUGAUCCUGGGAACAGGAGGUAGCAAAAUCAAGCUGGACCAUCUGUGGAUUGCUCAGUGCCUGCCAUCCCACCAACUACAGGAGGAUACUGGGAGGUGAGCUGACUACAUGCAGGAAAGGGUGAUUGGGAAGUAGGUAUGAUCCAGAAAUCCUG
rnacentral:lncRNA from 14 species